rnacentral:rRNA from 1 species
UACGGGGGGAGCAAGCGUUGUUCGGAUUUACUGGGCGUAAAGGGCGCGUAGGCGGCGUGACAAGUCACUUGUGAAAUCUCCGGGCUUAACCCGGAGCGGCCAAGUGAUACUGUCGUGCUAGAGUGCGGAAGGGGCUACUGGAAUUCUCGGUGUAGCGGUGAAAUGCGUAGAUAUCAGGAGGAACACCAAUGGCGAAGGCAGCUCGCUGGAACGGUACUGACGCUGAGGCGCGAAAGCGUGGGGAGCGAACAGG